rnacentral:lncRNA from 1 species
AAGUUAAUGGAAAGAGAAGGUUAGUCACGGUGUAGUCCUGAUACAAGCGGCGUGUCCAGCUCGUCUCCGGCCCUCUGUGUAGUCCCUGGGCAGGGCGGCAGCCCCGCAAAAGCUGCUGCACCACAAAAGCCCUCAAGGCGGCGGCAGGCCUCUCCACACCGCCCCAGCCUUCGACGCCAAGGAGAGGAAAACUGUCAAUAUAUCGAAAGCACUGAAGUCCCAACAAAGGAGAGCUUGCAGCCUGAGCUGAGCCUACUUCCCACUGGGCCCAGUUCUUCCACAGGGCUGGCUGCUUAUCCCAUGAAACACAUCCUCAGACAGUAAGCCUUCAACUCUGAAGGAAAACGUGACUUUGUGAACAUCACAUGGGUUUUGUGAUAAACUGAGCCAUGUGUUGAGUCCAGAUGACGUGGAACUUACUGGAGCCAAUAACCGGAAGAUGGCAGACCUCGGCUGUUGACUUCAAAGGUACAGUCCCAGCAAAUCUCUGAAGGUGGAUUUGGCAGCAGAAUUUCCUCACAUUGCCAAGCAUCUAUAAGGCCCCAGAAGAAAAAUGUCCUUCCUGCAGUUUGGAGAAAUAGUUUUGGCUGUCAUCCUGACUGUAUUGGCCCUUGCUAUUCUGGCUAUUCUGAUAGCAAGAUGGACGCGGCGCAGACAUGAGGCGCGAGUCUCCAGAUACACUUCAGAACAGAGUGCUGGGCUUCUGGAUCAUGAGGAUGGUAUUUCCCAUGGGAGGCACAAAAGAGGAAGA